GCUGACGCUAAAUCCAGUGUAAACCCGUUUCCAUGACAACACCGGAAGUCACUCGUUCGCGACCUUUACGACGAUAAAGUCGUUUCGUAAUGCAAUUAUAAUAUUUGUUUACUGGUUUAAUGUAAUUCUGAGUAAAAGUGUGACUUAAAGCUGUGUUUACAUUGCUCUUGUUAAAUUUACGAAGAGAAAGGUUUAUCGCUAGUCACAUGACUGUUACCCGGAAGUACUGAGAGUAGCGCCAGGGAGAAGAGAGAGUGGCGGGUGAGGACAGCGAACUUUUAAGCUCCCGUCUGUUAUUCUACAGCUGGUCUACAAGGCGAACACGUUUUCACGGUGUUCCAUGAUACUUCAGAGAAGAAUAAAUGUGAACGUGGACAUCA